AGAGGGUUGGAAGUCGCAGGUGCACUUCGGUGCCUAAGAGGGAAUCCCGUGGGAAUCGGGAACGGGCCCGCCGCUGUGAUCGGGGACGAAAGCUGCUCGCAUGCCACUGCCGCAGUGUUUGCGGUGGGAAGGCGCAGCCGGUAGGACGAUCCGAGAGUCAGAAAACCUGCCUGCGACGCGAGGUGCCG
rnacentral:ncRNA from 2 species